ACUAUUUUGGCAGAUUAGUGCGGUAAAUUUAGGAUUUAUUUAUGUAGGUUGUUCUACAGGUAGUA
rnacentral:tRNA from 1 species